AAUUGCAGUCAAGGGGGUAUGUAGACAGUUAUGCACUCUGGUAGUGAGUGGGUCCCGCCUGGAAGCUUUUGAUAGAAUUCCUGAGUGAUGCUCUUCCAGUUUCAAUGUGGGCUGACUGUGUCCUGAAGAAUGGGCUGGGAAGCAGCUUUACAUUCAGCGCCUCGAGGCAGAUCACUCAUCUGCGUUUGUUGCCCUGUCUGAUGCUCCCCUACUUGGGACACCGAGAACUUCAGCCAACAAGUCUUCAGGUGCUCCUUCCUAUAGCAGAUGGUCCAGUUCACAGCCACAUCAGGUAAUAGGCUCUUUUUAAGAAACUUGACAUGCUUGUUUUCCUUGAAGUGCGCUUGAACUCAAUUCUUUCUUUUCUUUCCUCUUUUCUCUUUUCUCUUCUUUUCUUUCUGUCUUUCUGUCUUUCUCUCUCUCUCUUUCUCUCUUUCUUUCUUUUGCUGGGCAAGUAUGGAAGCUUUUGGGCUCUUAUCUAUUCUCACCUCAAAUGUGGCCUCUCUUGACAAAGGGCUGUGCAGUUCAUUCAUCAUCUGCGUCAAGUUUAAGGUCAGGGCUGUGUGAAGGUGAUGGUGACAGGAAGGCGGGAGCUUGGGAGAUGCUGAGUUUCCAUGUUCAAAGCCCUCCACAGUGAAGAGCAUAGAUAAAAUUAAUCCAGCAAAUAUUGAAAGUUAAGUUUGCCUUGUUUUUCUUUGACAAAAAUUUUCUCUUCCGUUCCUUUUAUUCCAGAAAAUUGUAUAGGCACCCAUGGGUAUUUGCAUGGAACUGUGUGGUACCUGGUGUGUCUCUGUGAGUUUAUGUACCAAUAUAUUAAGAAAAGACACUAAUUUUAUGAAGAAUUACUUUUUUGCCUAGUUAUUCAGGCUCAUUAACAACCUCUACUCAUGUCAAUUAAUACUGAAUGUUAAUUGCCUAAAGGUUAAGUUAAGCCAGCAGAGUGAUGUCGUAUCCGUGUAAAGAAAACAGAUCUUUUCUGUUAGUGAGCAUUUUCACAGGCGACAGACUGUGACCAGGUGGUCUUCUGAGUGCUCUUCUGCUUUCUGAAGCCACAUGAUGAGAGAACACUAACUUUGGACUCUAAAAGCUGAGUAGGAUAUGCAUUCAAAUCACCUACUAGUUAGGAGACAAAGAAGGAAACAACUCUCAUUUGUGUUUUGGUUAGAGUUAUCUCUAACCAAGUGACUUUUCAGGUCACUUCAGCUUCUGCGGUAAUUUUAAGAAGGCACAUUAUAAAUAAUUUAUAUUUACUCCCCACUCUUAUUAACUUUUGUCAAAAUUUAGCAUUGGUGCUAACUUACUGCAAUAGCAGCAUGAUGUAAGAACUCUUUCUGUAUGCUCUUUUUCAACUUUUUCUCUUUUUGCAAUUACAAAUUGCCAUUUGUCAAUAAAACAAUGGUAAAGAAAAUUAAUGAGAAGAACAAAUUCUACCACUAUGCAAUAUUUUAUCUUAGUACCUAUUUUGACAUUGAAUUGGUUGGUAAAAAGAAGAAGUUGACAUGAUGGCUUUGCCUCCAUUGUCAUCAGCUUUGUGUGGAUGCUGUAGGUUCUGGUAACUUAAAAGCAUGUAUUGCUUGACGACUGUGAACUGAAAAAGCGGGUGGCACAAAAGAGGGGCAGUAGCCCCAGUAAACAGAAAUUACUCUGACUAUCUAGGUUUCAUUUACUUCCUAGAGUGGACCUAACCUAAAAUUGCAUAGUUGGUUAUAAGUUGGUAGUAUUUCUGAUUUCUGUUCUCAGACUUUCUAGGGACUGAAUUGAGCAAGUCACUACUCAUCUCUGCACCACUCUGAAAAAGUCCUAGGAGAUGUUUUAAUUUAAUCUUUACAAUCUAAGAAAAGCGAGACCUAGAGAAUAUACUGUUCAAGAUUAUGUGAAUUCAGUUGUUCUAGAAUUCUAUGUUCUUUUCUCAGAAUUUAUUUAAUUUUACAAAUCAAGAAGAUCCUUUUGGGAACUUCCCAGUGAGAUAAUCUAAUAUUAUCUUUUUGUGAAUCUGUGCUGGUCCUGGAAAGCUCUUCACAUGAUGCAAUGAAAUGAGAAAAGUGAAGACAGGGUAGUCCUUCAUAAAAUGAACUUACUUUUAUAAAGGUAUAAACAUAUUGGAUGGUAUUUGUGUCAUUUUAAAUAUUCUAGGCAAAUUAAAGUGUUGACCAUUUUGUGUAUAUUUCCCAAUGUUUUCUCUUUGAAUACUUACGGGACUGUGAAAUUCAAGAGUGGAAUAGGUACUAAAAGUGGGUUUCCGUUUUACCCUCUCACAUAUUGGAAGAACUAUGGUUAUAUUGGGGGACUUUGAACUUUUUCAUUGUGGGGCAUAACUGGGUGGGAUUUUCAAAUGGUACUCUGUCUGAAACUAAUAUUGGUGUCAUCUUUUUGGUAUUGAGGGUUCCCUUUUAUUCUAAACAAAAGGAGUGGUACAGUUCUUUAUAUUCCUUUAGGUUCCUUGGCAAUUGCCUAUUGUGCUGGACCUUUGCUCUUUUGCUUGCAGAUCCAUUCAGUGCCCAUCCCUUGACAUCUACCUUCCUGGGCUCCCCUGCUAACUGACAGCCAAAUAGGUUUUCCCAAUGGGAGACCUUGGUGGGACUUAGGAAAGAGAUAGGAAGAACAAAACCAGGAUAUUUAUUUUCUUCUCUGUCUGCUUUUGGGUAGCAUCUCUCUAUGGUCUGGGUAGACCAGCUCCUGUGAGACAAUUCUGUUUUCUAGCCUCUAGAGACAAUCCCCUUUGACCCCUCAGCCCUAAGGGAGGUAGCAGCUUCCCUCACCUGUUGACAUUUUAGCUCUCACAACACACUUGUAACUAGUUCCCUGUACUAAAUGCCGUCUCUUGGACUGCCUGGUAUGGUCUCUGUUUUUCUAACAGCUUUUCAGCUGUUCUCUGAAUGGUACACCUACUGUUGUAUAUGCACUUCAUUCUUUUGUUGUUGUAACAGUGGCGUUUGUUUUAGAAAUGUGUGAAUAUUUACAGGAUCACAGCCUUGCAGCUGCUGAAAACUCUGAGAUUUGUUCUUCUGAGCUGGCCUGGUGGGUAGUAAUCCUUUUACUCCUCUAUUCCAUGCAGAAUAAUUAUUCUUCUUUGUUACUCAUACUCUAAUCCACCCCUUUUAAAUUUGUGUUUAUAAGAAGAAUCUUUGUCUUUUGUGUUUGCAAUAAAUAAGCUUAUUGGCUUCAGUCUUUGAAAAUUACCUACACAAAUUCUCAGCCUAAGGUUGAAAGCAUAACUGCCAACUCAAUCCCAGAUUCCAGUUCCUAUGUUCUCCUUUGACUUCUGGCAUCUGCAGAACUUUUUUUUUUUUAAUUGAGUCAUGGAUUUUUUAAAAAAACAUUUAUAAGAUUUUAUUACAGAAAUUUUUAGGUGUACAAUAAAGUAAGUAAAAUUGAGUAACAAGCUCUCGUGUAUCCAUCAUCCAUCUUGAGCAAACAUUAAUAUAUUGCUGUUCUUGCUUUUUGUUUUUUUUCUCUUAUUAAUAUAGUUGUACAUAUAUUGGGGGUACAUGUGAUAUUUUGAUACAUGUAUACAAUGUAUAAUAAAUCAGGAUAAUUAGGAUAACCAUCACCUCAAAUAUUUUUUCUUUGUGUUGGGAGCAUUACAAUUCUUUCUUCUAGCUAUUUUGAAAUGCACAAUAAGUUAUAAUUUCCCUACUAUACUAUCAAAUGCUAGAACUUAUUCCUUAUAUCCAACUUCAUUUUUAUACCCAUUAACCAACUUCUCUUCAAUGUCCCCCUCCUUCUUUUCCUUCCCAGCUUCGGGUAACCACCAUCCUACUCUGUACCUUCAUGAGAUUCACUUUUUUAGCUCCCACAUGUGAGUCAGAACAUGUGAUAUUGGUUGUUUCAUGCCUGGCUUAUUUCACUUAACAUAAUGAUAACCAAUUUUAUCCAUGUUGCUGAGUCAUGGAUUUAUAUUUACCAGAGUUCAAGUGGAUCUUCCUCUAUUUGUUUGUAGAGUACUGGUUGUAAACCUCAGAUAGAUACAACAUAGAUACAGUAAUGAGUAAAUCAGUACACAGGCAGAUACUUGCCUAUUUAUAGAAGUGUGCUGGUAUGAGAAUUAAUAAAAUCACCAUACUUUCAUAUUCAUUAUCAUCAUAGCUAACAUUUAUUGAACAUUUACUAUGUGAUGUCUGCUAAUUUCUUUGAAUGUACUCUCUCAUUUAAUCUUCCCAAUAUCUCUGUGAUAAUUAUGCAGUGUUUUACAGAUGAGAGAACUGACUUAAUUAGCUUGUCCAAUGACACAGAAUCAAAUUACAGUGCCCUAAUCUACUAAUUGGUAGGCAGUAUUACCUCUCUAAAGAUUUUAGAGUAAUUUAAGGCCAUUGAAAACCAUUUUAACCAAUAGUUAUGUUUUGAGCUAAUCAGAACACAACAUUUUUGUAUUUCAAAUACCAUUUCUACUUUGAAA
rnacentral:lncRNA from 1 species